UAAUCUCACCUCAAGGUUUCUUGAGUGUGGACUUGGAGGUGGCAUCUGGCCUCCUCUUAAAAGCGUUAGCGACAACGAUGUAAUAAGUUUCAUCCGAAGCCGCUUACAAACCCCAUAUUAUUUAUG
rnacentral:misc_RNA from 1 species